UGAAUCCGCGCGGGAGAGUUCCCAGCCACGCUGGGGCGCCGAAGGAGCAAGUCCCUCCCUUGAAUCUCUCAGGCCCCGUUACCGCGCGGGCGAG
rnacentral:ncRNA from 2 species